rnacentral:rRNA from 1 species
UACGAGGGGUGCAAGCGUUGCUCGGAAUUACUGGGCGUAAAGGGUAGGUAGGUGGUCUUAUUUGUCAGGGGUGAAAGCCUUGGGCUUAACCUAAGAAGUGCCCCUGAAACGGUAAGACUAGAGUACUGGAGAGGGUCGUGGAAUUCCCGGUGUAGCGGUGAAAUGCGUAGAGAUCGGGAGGAACACCAGAGGCGAAGGCGGCGACCUGGACAGUCACUGACACUCAACUACGAAAGCGUGGGGAGCAAACAGG